GAGAACCGACCACUUCGCCUUUACUCUAACAACCUGAAACUCAAUUCUGCAAACAUACUAAAGCUAUAAACAAUUUUAAACCUAAAUCUUAUAAUCAAUUGUCAAGAAUCAUUCGCAUAAACCCAAAUACAAAAUGAUCCUUACACUCACCUGAUUCGUCGUCCGAACAAACAAAGAAUAAGAGUACCAUCAGGAUUUUAAGGCAAUGGUUAACAAUAGUGAAACCUAAAAAAGGAAAGGAAGAAAUACAAAAACAAAAGGGAAAAAAACCAAAAAUAAAAAAUAUGAACAACUUAAGAAAAGAGGAAGUGAAAACUAACGUGUAGACAGAGAGAGUGUG
rnacentral:lncRNA from 1 species